UUUAAUAUCUUUAUUUCAUCCCCUUUCAAGUUAUCAUCUGAAAGACCCCCGAAGUGGGGAGACCCUCACUCAAGUCUUGGGAUGACGCAGCCCCCCAAGAACUCACAAGAGACC
rnacentral:pre_miRNA from 14 species